rnacentral:misc_RNA from 1 species
GUGAAUCAUCGAAUUUUUGAACGCAAAUUGCACUCUCUUCGGAGAGUAUGCCUGUUUGAGGGUCAGCCUAAAAAAAAAUUGACAUAGUUGCUGUUUCGCGGUGAUAUUGGUCGGAAAUUGGGUCAUCUUAAAGCUUUGGGUUUUAAGGGGCUUAAAAUUUUCUUUACGAUUCCACGAACGUUUCUAAGAUUUACUUCUUAUAGGUGUAAGGUAUUGUUCUUUAUUAGACGUGGACGGUGCAUCGGAUUUCGUACGUAAAUA